rnacentral:rRNA from 1 species
UAACACGUAGGUAACCUGCCCAUGUGCCCGGGAUAACUUCUGGAAACGGAUGCUAAAACCGGAUAGGUAGCAGACAAGCAUUUGACUGCUAUUAAAGUGGCCUUGGCCAUGAACAUGGAUGGACCUGCGGUGCAUUAGCUAGUUGGUGAGGUAACGACCCACCAAGGCGACGAUGCAUAGCCGGCCUGAGAGGGCGGACGGCCACAUUGGGACUGAGACACGGCCCAAACUCCUACGGGAGGCAGCAGUAGGGAAUUUUCGUCAAUGGGGGGAACCCUGAACGAGCAAUGCCGCGUGAGUGAGGAAGGUCUUCGGAUCGUAAAGCUCUGUUGUAAGAGAAAGACGGCACUCAUAGGGAAUGAUGAGUGAGUGAUGGUAUCUUACCAGAAAGUCACGGCUAACUACGUGCCAGCAGCCGCGGUAAUACGUAGGUGGCGAGCGUUAUCCGGAAUGAUUGGGCGUAAAGGGUGCGUAGGUGGCAGAUCAAGUCUGGAGUAAAAGGUAUGGGCUCAACCCGUACUGGCUCUGGAAACUGAUCAGCUAGAGAACAGAAGAGGACGGCGGAACUCCAUGUGUAGCGGUAAAAUGCGUAGAUAUAUGGAAGAACACCGGUGGCGAAGGCGGCCGUCUGGUCUGGAUUCUGACACUGAAGCACGAAAGCGUGGGGAGCAAAUAGGAUUAGAUACCCUAGUAGUCCACGCCGUAAACGAUGAGAACUAGGUG